rnacentral:rRNA from 1 species
GACAGAGGGUGCAAGCGUUGUUCGGAAUCACUGGGCGUAAAGGGUGCGUAGGCGGGGCUUUAAGUCAGGGGUGAAAUCCUGGAGCUCAACUCCAGAACUGCCUUUGAUACUGAAGAUCUUGAGUUCGGGAGAGGUGAGUGGAACUGCGAGUGUAGAGGUGAAAUUCGUAGAUAUUCGCAAGAACACCAGUGGCGAAGGCGGCUCACUGGCCCGAUACUGACGCUGAGGCACGAAAGCGUGGGGAGCAAACAGG